rnacentral:rRNA from 2 species
UACACACCGCCCGUCACACCAUGGGAGUGGGUUGCAAAAGAAGUAGGUAGCUUAACCUUCGGGAGGGCGCUUACCACUUUGUGAUUCAUGACUGGGGUGAAGUCGUAACAAGGUAACCGUAGGGGAACCUGCGGUUGGAUCACCUCCUUACCUUAAAGAAGC